GGGUCAUUUCAAAGAGGUCUUAUUAGGUUGUGAAACCAAGAGCUCGUGACACUGUGAAUCAAGAAGGAAGUUCUCCAGUGUUAAAAAU
rnacentral:snoRNA from 1 species